GUGGACUUAGUUUAGUGAAAAAAUGUCUGUUUUGCAUAUAGAGGACCUUGGGUUCAACUCCCAGAGUCUACA
rnacentral:tRNA from 1 species